rnacentral:sRNA from 1 species
UUUUAAAAUGCUGGUAAUGGUCUUUUUUUUUUUUUUGGCGAUUUUAAUGCUUUGGAAAAGAUCUCAUGGUUUUAUCUCCAAAGGAGGAAAUUAAUUUGAUGCCAUGGAAAUUAGUUUUCUAGUCAUAUGCCUUGAAUGAGUGAAGAAUUUCUUUUUCAUGGUGGCAGUAAAUUUGGGGAAAGCUAUAGAAACUUUGAUCUGGAAGCUUACACUUUUCCUCUUUAUUGAAAAUUUGGUGAGAGACUUGGAUAUUUUAUUAUUUUCUGUAAAAGAGUGUAAUUUGUUGUACAGGUCUAAUAUUGAUCCUUUUUUGGAAGUAUGGAAAGAAUCUGAGUAUAAAGCAGAAUUACCUCUGGAUGACAUGUAUUCUCAAGGACACUGUCACAGUGAAACAGUUUAUUUAGAAGCUUGUGUUUCCAAACUGUUGAAUUUGAUAUUCACAAAAUUGGCAUGUGUAAACUUUAUUAAACUUCAAGCUGUUUCCUAAGAUGAAGAUGACAAACUUGGAGGGAAACUUCAUUCAUUUGGUUUAUUUUUAUUUUUAUUUUUAUUUAUUUUUAUCUUUUUGAGACAGAAUCUCACUCUGGUUUGAGACAGAAUCUCACUCUGUCCCCCAAGUUGGAGUGCAGUGGUGUGAUCUUGGCUCACUGAAACCUCUGCCUCCCGGGUUCAAGCGAUUCUCCUGCUUCACUCUCCGAAUAGCUGGGAUUAUAGGUGUGUGCCACCACACCCAGCUAAUUUUUGUAUUUUUAGUAGAGACGGUUUCGCCACAUUGGCCAGGCUGGUGUCAAACUCCUGGCCUUAAAGUGAUCCACCCACCUUGGCCUCCCAAAGUGGAGCCCCCGUGCCCCUUGUUUGUGACCUGUCAAUAUAAAUAUGCUCAGUAGUGGGGGAAGGGGUGGGGGAUGAAAAAGGAAAUAUGUUUAAUAUUAAGACUUUGGCCUUUUAGUGUAAAGUGAUAUUCAAAAAUUUCUUCAUAGAACAUUUGCUUCUUUGCUUGAUCAUUUUUCUAAUUCUGUACAUCUAAAAUGCCCAGAAUUUGAGUUGUUGUUAUAGUCUACUAACAUAGAACUUUGGAGUAAUAAGAUGGGAAUUUGUCUGUCUUUUGCCAAGACAAGCAUUCAUAAUCUAACACAGUAUUAUUGCCACGAGUACGAGUAUGUGAUAGACUGUUGAGAAUAAACAAAGCAGGCACAGUUGGUCAGUCCUAAGAUAAAGGAGAUGUUUUUUCUUAUAUGUUUGUGCAUUAAAGAAAAAAAAUCUUGAAUCUGACCAAUGAUGUUUUUUUUCCUUGUAAGAAAAUUUAACAAAUGUUUGGCAAGCUUCUGGAGUCUAAAUUUGAAAUUAUACAUUUGUCAUUUUCUUUAAAUAUUUCUUCACCUUAGCUUUGAUUAUGGAGAAAUCACUGUCCUUUGCUGUUUUUUUUUUUUUUUCUUUUGAGGCGGAGUCUCACUCUGCACCAGGCUGGAGUGCAGUGGUGCAAUCUUGGCUCACUGCAACCUCCGCCUCCCAGGUUCAAAUGAUUCUCCUGCCUCAGCCUCCUGAGUAGCUGGGACUACAGUUGUGUGCCACCACACCGAGCUAAUUUUUGUAUUUUUGGUAGAGACAGGGUUUCACCACAUUGGCCAUGGCCAGGAUGGUCUUGAUCUCGACCUUGUGAUCCGCCCGCCUCGGCCUCCCAAAGUGCUGGGAUUACAGGCGUGAGCCACUGUGCCCGGCCUGUCCUCUGCUUUUUUCUGGGCUUAUGUUAAAAUUAUAACUCAAUCACCAGUCUUUAUAAAUUUGCUUGUUUAUAUUUAAACCAAACCUAAUGCUAAUUGUGAUGUUAUUUAUUCUCACCUGAUUCAAAUCAUUGGAUUCAAUUAAAUAAGUUUAAUUAUCAUUAAAUAACUCUAAGAGAAAUAAUGUCUAUUCGGAUGGUGGGAAUUUUCUUUCUACAUGCAGCCCCAUUCUGAAUGAAUGAAAUCAAAUCACGUGAAGAUCAGGGUCCUAGAGUAAUUUAAUAUUUUGUACAUUGGUGAUUUGACUCCUCAUCUUUAUAUUACAUGUUAUAUCGAGGGAGGGAGAAUAAAAUACAAAAAUUGCAGAGGUAUUUGGAAUGUACCUAUUUGUUAAUUCUAUUUGUCAUUUCUUUUGUUUCAUCUUUUGAGUAAUAAGCUGCUUGGAAAAGUUUCUGCUCUUUAGCUGAUUUUUUAGCUAUAAAAAUGUAUUUGAAAAGCUCAUAAAUUUCAGGAUUGAAAAGUUAAUCCAAAGUUUUAAAAAAAGCUAAUUCAUUGAAGUAAUAACCAAAUAAUUUUCAAUCUUGAUUCAACUGUGAUUCAAAUCUUAUACCGUGUGCCCACUUCUAUGACUUUUAUGUAUAAAAUUUUUUUAAGAGUCAGAGUUUUUUUUCCUUGAUUAAUUGGAUGUAUUUCACAGAAUUUCCAAUGGCUCACGUUAGUUUUCUUCCUUUUAGAGUUGAUCUCUCUAAUGUAUUAGAUCUUCAUGCCUUUGAUAGUCUCUCUGGAAUAAGUUUGCAGAAAAAACUUCAGCAUGUGCCAGGAACACAACCUCACCUUGAUCAGAGUAUUGUUACAAUCACAUUUGAAGUACCAGGAAAUGCAAAGGAAGAACCUCUUAAUAUAUUUAUUCAGAAUCUCCUGUGGGAAAAGAAUGUGAGAAACAAGGACAAUCACUGCAUGGAGGUCAUAAGGCUGAAGGGAUUGGUGUCAAUCAAAGACAAAUCACAACAAGUGAUUGUCCAGGGUGUCCAUGAGCUCUAUGAUCUGGAGGAGACUCCAGUGAGCUGGAAGGAUGACACUGAGAGAACAAAUCGAUUGGUCCUCAUAGGCAAGAAUUUAGAUAAGGAUAUCCUUAAACAGCUAUUUAUAGCUACUGUGACAGAAACAGAAAAGCGGUGGACAGCACAUUUCAAAGAAGAUCAAGUUUGUACAUAACACUAGAAGCAUUUCUUAUCAAAAGGAUUGGAUAAUAAAAAUAAGUUUCUACUGGGUAUAUUUCAAGCAUUUAUUUAUUACUUUAGUUAUGAAUUCCAAUAUACUUUAAAAUGGUAUUUAUUUUACAGCAUACAUAAAAUGUAGCAAAUCAGUACUGUAAAACAUUUAACAUUCAUACAAUUAUAUAUAAUAUCUUUUUUUAAGAAUGGUAUUUCACAAAAAUAUCUUGAAAUUGGCUUUGGAGUUUACAUAUACUGAACAUGAAAAUUUAUAAUAAUGAUGAUAAAACUUUCAACAUUGUCAUUUUUUCUUAGAACUUCAGUUGAUUGCAGAGAUAUAAUGAUUACAUUGUUAUUAAAUUUUUUUAAAAC